GCUGCUGAAGUCAAUCAGAAAUAAUAAUUGCAUUCAACUUCAAGUUAUUGUUGUUCUUUUAAUGAGUACGUCUCGAGCUUGUCCCCCUUUGGCGCUGCUGGGUGCCUCAUGUCGGCAACUGAAAUUGUCAUAGAUCUUGCUUAUAUUUCCUCUAGAUUCGCUAUGUUGUUUUUUUUGCUGCUUUGGGCAAAAUCAAAGUCCGAGUUUCCAUGUUUCAUCAUCAGCACUACUAUUGUAUAACAGUGUUUCUAAUUGACAUGGAUAUAAGUUGCUCGCUUUUCCCUAUCUCAUGCAA
rnacentral:lncRNA from 1 species